CCUACGGGAGGCUGCAGUGAGGAAUAUUGGUCAAUGGUCGGGAGACUGAACCAGCCAAGCCGCGUGAGGGAUGAAGGUACAGAGUAUCGUAAACCUCUUUUGUCAGGGAACAAAGGCGGGGACGUGUCCCCGGAUGAGUGUACCUGAAGAAAAAGCAUCGGCUAACUCCGUUCCAGCAGCCGCGGUAAUACGGAGGAUGCGAGCGUUAUCCGGAUUUAUUGGGUGUAAAGGGUGUGCAGGCGGUCUGUUAAGUCAGCGGUAAAAGCCCGGGGCUCAACCCCGGGCCGCCGUUGAAACUGGCAGUCUCGAGUUGGAGAGAAGUAUGCGGAAUGCGCGGUGUAGCGGUGAAAUGCAUAGAGAUCGCGCAGAACUCCGAUUGCGAAGGCAGCAUGCCGGCUCCACACUGACGCUGAGGCACGAAAGCGUGGGUAUCGAACAGGAUUAGAUACCCCAGUAGUC
rnacentral:rRNA from 1 species